rnacentral:misc_RNA from 1 species
GGAAAAAGCAGGGUGAUUGGGAAUUUGGUGCAGUCAAGGGUGGAGGGAUCAUCUGUUUGGAGGAUCUUGUCCUUUCAUAAUCUCAUGUUGGGUCUGCUUGUCAUUGUUAUUGUUAUUGCAGUUGCAGUUGAGAAAAGCCCUAUUUUGUAUACAUUGAUUUAAAAAAUUAGUUGUUUUUUGGGUAGACUUGACGUGAUUUUAUUAUAAGAACCCCAAAAUAUUUAAAAUUAAGUUUCAAACUGCUUUUCAUUAUUGCAUCUGAAAGGGUGUUUUCUCAAAAAAGUAGUUUCAACCUCAACAGAAGACUCAUAACCUAUAAUAUGCUUUUGAAGGCAAUAUGGGCUUGCAUGGGCCUAAGCAUUUAUUGAUUCUUGGAGAAUUUGGCCUGCAGGUCUAGAACCAAUCUACUAACAUGUUCGUAGGACCUGGAUCAGCAUAGCCUGACAAUUCAAUGGGUUGUGGCGACAAUUGGAAAAGAGAAACUUUUUACUAGAAUAGGCACAUGGAAUUUGUAUCC